GUCUGUGAGUCAAGGGAGGUGAAGUAUGUGUGAGUGAGGUAAGAAAACACUUUGUUUGUGACACUAACUUCUCUUUGUUUCAGAGACAGACUAUCACAGAACAUCAUCAUCAUCAUCAUCAUCAUCAGUAUCAGUUAAAUCUCCAGUGAUCUCAUCUGUGUCUCCAGGCUCUUCUCUGGUGGUCAGUGUGUCUGUGGUUCUGCUGCUGAUCAUCAUUGGACUCGUGAUCGUGAUCUGGACUGUCUGCAGGAGGCGUCAGUCGAACAAUGCUGAUUUCUCCUCCAAAAGAUCUCAUGCGACUUCAGCAAACAAUGAAGCGGUUUCUCACACUGGUUUUGAUUACAAGGAGCUUAAAGACACUCACAGACAUUUACCCACAAGCCCCUCUGAUCCCUCUAACUGUGUUUAUGCUACAGUUGAGAAAGCCUCUGGUGACUCUCAGUGCCGCAUCUCAUCUGCUGAGGAUCUGAAUUACGCAGUGGUGAAUUUCCACAAGAGAUCAGACUGUCCUGACAGUGUCAGUUUCAGGAAUGAUCAGGAUUACACUGAAUAUGCUGCAGUCAAUCAUCUCACAACAGCAGAGAAUAUUAUAAACUGAUGCAUUUAAAGAUAUGGACUGAUUCACAGUAAACAGAACAAACUGAGCACCAUAUGAGACACAUGCUGUCUAAACACAUCAUAUUUAGCAUAUAUAGAUUGAUUGUAAUGUCAGAUAAGUCUGGUUCCUCUUUUCCUCUGCUAUAUUUAAAUGUCCUGACUCUUUUACAAGUUUUGCAAGAGUUUUUAAAUGAGUGUAUUUUUUUGUGUCUGUUUGUGAUUGACUAUAUAUAAAAUUUUCUUUUUUUUAUAAGUUUGUACUUAAGCAUGUAGAUCUAAUCUGAGGUAAAAAUUAUUUAAUUUUCUGAGGAGAAGGUAAAAUGUGUAUUGUUUUUUUAAAUGCAUCAUUAAAUAGAAUUUCAGACAAGUUUCAAAUAUUCCCACAUUACAGAAAAAUGACUGGUUGAUUAAUGUGAUUUUGUCAAUCCCAGUAAGUCUGCUCAAAUAAUCAAUUCAUACUCUCAUUUAUAUUCCAGUAGUUUCUGAAUACUUUGUCCAGUCAUGUUUAUUUGAUUUGAUUUUUUCACAGAUGACACUAGUUUAUAAAGCAGCUCCUGGACAAGUCUGAUCUUCUUCAGUGGUUUUCAGUCCUGGACAAGUCUGAUCUUCUUCAGUGGUUUUCAGAUCCAUCGCUUGUCUCUCUUCUCUGACACACUCGCUGUAUCUGAAAUCACAAACUGUCUGAGUAGGUACUACAUCUGAGUUUGAACUUACUUUAUGACCAUUUUCGCAUAUAUUUGGUGAAGCUGCUCUCUUGGCGUACAGUUUUUCACAUGUAGUUGGGAAGUAUUUGAUUUCAGAUGCAGUGACUCGGUUCAGAUCAUGUAGUUCUCACCUUAAAUAAGGUUUAACUUUCUGUCUCAAAGUUUCUCAUAGGUCUGGAGGUGUUGUUUAUGUUUGCGUGAUGAACAGGCUGUUUUUUUUCCGUCCAGCUCAAAGCCACAGGAAACUGGUGAAGGUUCAGGGUCUCAGUUCAGUUUAAUUAAACAGACUUACUCAGGAAACCCACAGUGAGACACAUGAGACUGAACAGAGAGAGACAGAAGAUCAACAUCCAUUGAGAGCAGAAGACAAUAAAGACUAAGAGCUGAUCCUUCACUAAUUCACCUCCAACAUUUACUGAGAGUGAUCAAUGAGAUUCAGACUGAAAAUGUUUAUGAUCAACAAAUUAUCUGUGUGAUUUGACAAUUUUAGUUUUCAGAUCAAACUAAAUUAAAAAAAUGAGCCCACAAAUCAACAACAGAGACUGAGUUUAAGUUGGUAAAUUUAAGCCAGUACCACUUUAAACAAGCGACAACUCCAGGUUUUACUGUAAAUUUUAUAAUUUGAUUUAUUUUGAUGAUCAUUAUCAACAUUUUUUUAUCUCAGGAUAAAAUCAAAGUGUAUCUUUAUAUGGCAGUAAGAGUAAUAUGUUAGUUUGCUUUUCUGAAUUCAGUAAAAACAUAAUUGUCAGAGAUAUUACUGAAUGUCAAAUGUCAAUGAUGUCGUGUUGUGAUAUUACUGGAGAGAUCAUCAUCAGACAGAAAACAGAUGAUAAACAGUUAAAUGAGUCUGUAGAUUUGAUUUUGUUAGCAUUUUUAAAAAUCAAAAGUGUGUAUUUUCAGAAAAUGCUCUUUAACUCAGUAUUUUAUAUUUUUUACUAGGAUAAGGACACUUUCUUGAAAAAGCUUUUUGUGUUUGCAGGUUGUUUGAUACUGUGGUCAGUGUGAUGAAGAUCAUGAACUUGAGAUGCUCUUCAGCUUGUGGUUUUCUGCUCUAUUUAUCUUCUGUGGGUCAAACCAAGAAACCCUUCAGCUGCCUGCAAGUGUGAAUAAAAACAGGAAACAUUUAUCUUAGUAUCU